ACGAACGCUGGCGGCGUGCUUCACCCCUGCAAGUCGAACGGAAAGGCCCUGCUUUUGUGGGGUGCUCGAGUGGCGAACGGGUGAGUAACACGUGAGUAACCUGCCCUUGACUUUGGGAUAACUUCAGGAAACUGGGGCUAAUACCGGAUAGGAGCUCCUGCUGCAUGGUGGGGGUUGGAAAGUUUCGGCGGUUGGGGAUGGACUCGCGGCUUAUCAGCUUGUUGGUGGGGUAGUGGCUUACCAAGGCUUUGACGGGUAGCCGGCCUGAGAGGGUGACCGGCCACAUUGGGACUGAGAUACGGCCCAGACUCCUACGGGAGGCAGCAGUGGGGAAUAUUGCACAAUGGGCGGAAGCCUGAUGCAGCAGCGCCGCGUGCGGGAUGACGGCCUUCGGGUUGUAAACCGCUUUCGCCUGUGACGAAGCGUGAGUGACGGUAAUGGGUAAAGAAGCACCGGCUAACUACGUG
rnacentral:rRNA from 1 species